rnacentral:lncRNA from 1 species
CAAAUCCAAAGGGUGAUUUUUUGGGUUCAUGUUUGUCUUGUUAAAAGUGUUUUAAGGUGACUUUUGUAACCCCUAAGUACCCUAGGAUGUUAACAUCAUUUUGAAUGGUUCUGAUCCUGGGCUUGCACUGAUAUCGUCUUGUACCGUUCUAGGUACAACUCAUAUCAAUGUUUUUCAUACAAUAUGAAAUACAUAAAUCACCUUUCUGCGUAUGCAUAAAGGAUUCUAUAUACGCAUUAUUUUUUUGGGAGUCAAAGAGUACGUUCUCUUUGAGAAGAGCAACUUCUUAGUCUCACUAGAGUUGUCCUUUUGAUUGAAGUUCUUCAUCAUAUGAGAAACUUCCUAUCAUCUUUUGUCUAUAUUUAGGGCUUGAUAUAAUCCAAUUAUAUCCUAAAAUCUAUCAUUAUAUAUUUCCAUCCCAUGUUUAUAGACUAUGUCUCCCAUAUACAUUCUAUCGUUAUAGAAUAUUUAAAGUCAUAACUUUAACAAAGAAGUAUUCUGUUCAUUUCCAAAAUUAAUAUAUCAUAUAUUUGUAUACAUAUAUAUUCAUAUUUAGGAACAUGAUUAACUCCCACUAAUCUUUUGUAAACCUAGUAAACAAAAGAUUCAUUUACAUCUUUAUGAGAAAUCAAACAAUUUGAUCCUUUUCUCAUAAGAUGCUCAUAGCUCCCACUAGCUUGCUUAGAUUCAUGAUGGAUGGAUCUCUACAACUUACAUGUCUUGUGAUUCAUAGUUUUAGACAUAUAUUAUUAAGACUAUCUUAAUAAUGGUUUCGGAAACCCAUAUUAUGUCCAAACAUUGAAUCACCAUUUAGUUAUAGCUAGCAAUCUUCGAAUUAAUUGAAACUAAGACUACGUCAAAGAUGGUUUCUUCAAAGUCAACC